rnacentral:rRNA from 1 species
UACAGAGGUCUCAAGCGUUGUUCGGAUUCAUUGGGCGUAAAGGGUGCGCAGGCCGCGCGGGCAGUCAAAUGUGUAAUUCAGGGGCUCAACCCCUGGACUGCGCUUGAUACUUCCGCGCUUGAACCUUGGAGAGGAGUCUGGAAUUCUCGGUGUAGCAGUGAAAUGCGUGGAUAUCGAGAAGAACACUAAGGGCGAAGGCAAGACUCUAGACAGGUGUUGACGCUCAUGCACGAAGGCUAGGGUAGCGAACGGG